GGAUGUAGCGCAGUUUGGUAGCGCACCUGCCUUGGGAGCAGGGUGUCGCAGGUUCAAAUCCUGUCAUCC
rnacentral:tRNA from 1 species